ACUACGGGUGGCAGCAGUGGGGAAUAUUGCACAAUGGGGGGAACCCUGAAGCAGCGACGCCGCGUGAGUGAAGAAGGAUUUCGGUAUGUAAAGCUCUAUCAGCAGGGAAGAAAAUGACGGUACCUGACUAAGAAGCCCCGGCUAACUACGGGCCAGCAGCCGCGGUAAAACGUAGGGGGCAAGAGUUAUCCGGAUUUACUGGGUGUAAAGGGAGCGUAGACGGUUAUGCAAGUCUGAAGUGAAAGCCGAAGGCCCAACCACGGGACUGCCUUGGAAACUGGAAGACUGGAGUGCAGGAGAGGUAAGCGGAAUGCCUGGUGUAGCGGUGAAAUGCGUAGAUAUUAGGAGGAACACCAGUGGCGAAGGCGGCUUACUGGACUGUAACUGACGUUGAGGCUCGAAGGCGUGGGGAGCGAACAGGAUUAGAUACCCCUGUAGUC
rnacentral:rRNA from 1 species